CUCGAGCACGCGGCGGCGAGGGGGCGGAGCAGGGCGGGGCAACCUGGGGAGGUGACGGGAGAAAGAGGGACUGAGGGGGCGGUGGCCGCCCUGCGGGAGGUGGAGAAAGGAUGCACACACUGGAAGGUUGCCUUUAUUAUAUCCAUUUCUGUAUUCGUACCAGCACCUCGCAAAAUAAUUGUCUCAGCAGACUCCCUUGGGCAAUACUUCACAGACAUGACUGUGCACGCCAGUCACCCAGAGAUCAUGUUAAAAUGCACAUCUGGUUCAGCAGGCCUAGGUUUCUGUAUGUUAUAGAAGUUCAAAGAAGACAAACUCUAGCCAAGAGCAGUGUGAAGAAAAGAAGACGCUAUAUUAAUCACAGUCCAGGGAUGCCUUCUGGCUUCCUGGCAGCAAUUCCGGCCUGAGAUUCCUUCUCUGUGCAUACUUCCUGUCAACAUUGUGUGAUGUCAAGCUGUGGCCGUCACAAAAGUACUGUGAACACCUGUAAAUCCCAACUAUCAAAAAUCACACCCAGGAAUCCAAAUUAGCAUUAUUAUGUCAAAAGAAAAACCUGAUUUCU
rnacentral:lncRNA from 1 species